rnacentral:rRNA from 1 species
UAAUACGGAGGGUGCAAGCGUUGCUCGGAAUUAUUGGGCGUAAAGGGUAGGUAGGUGGUCUCAUUUGUCUGGGGUGAAAGCCUUGAGCUUAACUCAAGAAGUGCCCCAGAAACGGUGAGACUGGAGUCCUGGAGAGGGUCGUGGAAUUCCCGGUGUAGCGGUGAAAUGCGUAGAGAUCGGGAGGAACACCAGAGGCGAAAGCGGCGACCUGGACAGGCACUGACACUCAACUACGAAAGCGUGGGGAGCAAACAGG